AGAGUUUGAUCAUGGCUCAGGACGAACGCUGGCGGCGCGCUUAAUACAUGCAAGUCGAGCGAGAACCAGGGCUUCGGCCCUGGGGACAGCGGCGAACGGGUGAGUAACACGUGGGUAAUCAACCCCCGACACCGGGAUAGCCCAGGGAAACUUGGAUUAAUACCGGAUGCCCCAUCUGGCUUUCGAGCCGGCUGGAAAAGGGUAGCUUCGGCCUCCGGUCGGGGACGAGCCCGCGGCGGAUUAGCUUGUUGGUGAGGUAAAGGCUCACCAAGGCGACGAUCCGUAGCUGGUCUGAGAGGACGAUCAGCCACACUGGGACUGAGACACGGCCCAGACUCCUACGGGAGGCAGCAGCAGGGAAUCUUGCGCAAUGGGCGAAAGCCUGACGCAGCGACGCCGCGUGAGGGAAGAAGGCCUUCGGGUUGUAAACCUCUUUCAGGAGGGACGAAGCCACUCGGGUUAAUAGCCCAGAGGGUGACGGUACCUCCAGAAGAAGCCCCGGCUAACUACGUGCCAGCCGCCGCGGUAAUAC
rnacentral:rRNA from 1 species